CGAUGGAGGGGGGUAACUACUGGAAACGGUAGCUAAUACCGCAUAACGUCGCAAGACCAAAGAGGGGGACCUUAGGGCCUCUUGCCAUCGGAUGUGCCCAGAUGGGAUUAGCUAGUAGGUGGGGUAAAGGCUCACCUAGGCGACGAUCCCUAGCUGGUCUGAGAGGAUGACCAGCCACACUGGAACUGAGACACGGUCCAG
rnacentral:rRNA from 1 species